rnacentral:rRNA from 1 species
CAGUCGCCGCGGGAAUACGAGGGGGGCUAGCGGUGUUCGGAUUUACUGGGCGUAAAGCGCACGUAGGCGGAUUGUUAAGGCGGGGGUGAAAUCCUGGAGCUCAACUCCAGAACCGCCUUCGAUACUGGCAAUCUCAAGUCCGGAAGAGGUGAGUGGAACUCCUAGUGUAGAGGUGGAAUUCGUAGAUAUUAGGAAGAACACCAGUGGCGAAGGCGACUCACUGGUCCGGUACUGACGCUGAGGUGCGAAAGCGUGGGGAGCAAACAGGAUUAGAUACCCCCGUAGUCCCUGUCUCUUAUAC